rnacentral:rRNA from 1 species
AUGGAUAUCAUGCAGACAAGUGAUUCUUCACAAUAUGGAGUUGUAGAAAACAGCCCAUAUAGAUUUCCCUAUAAUAAACGUGUGGAAGAUGGCAACCUUGGUGCUUCGUGGUAUUUUAGUAGAAAAGAAAUAGAGGAGAAUUCCCUUUCAAGAAGAGAUGGCAUUAGUCUGAAGAAGGAGUCUUUCCUUCGCAAGUCAUACUGCACUUUUCUUCAAGAUCUGGGAGUGAGGCUUCAAGUGCCUCCAGUGACAAUUGCUACAGCUAUUGUAUUCUGUCAUCGUUUUUUCCUUCGACAAUCUCAUGCCAAAAAUGAUAGACUGACAGUAGCCACAGUUUGCAUGUUCUUGGCGGGUAAAGUUGAAGAAACACCCAUACCCCUGAAGGAUGUCAUACUAAUUUCUUAUGAGAUCAUCCACAAAAAGGAUCCUGGCGCUGUUGCUCGAAUUAAGCAAAAGGAAGUCUAUGAACAACAGAAGAAACUUAUUUUAAUUGGGGAGCGUGCUGUGCUUGUAACACUUGAUUUUGACUUCAAUGUGCAUCACCCAUACAAGCCCUUGGUUGAAGCAAUAAAAAAACUCAAGAUUGCUCAAAAGGAACUUGCUCAAGUUGCCUGGAGUUUUGUCAAUGAUGGCCUGUGUACAUCUCUUUGCCUGCAAUUUAAGCCCCAACAUAUUGCGGCUGGUGCAAUCUUCCUUGCUGCGAAGUUCCUUAAAGUCAAGCUUCCAGCAGAUGGCGAGAAGGUCUGGUGGCAAGAUUUUGAUGUAACCCCAUGGCAGUUGGAAGAGGUUAGCAACCAAAUGAUGGAGCUCUAUGGGCCACCACCGUCUCAAGGGAAUGAUAGUAAAAGCAGCUCUGCAGGUUUAGCCAAUCAACAUGCCCUGGAGAAAGCUCCUGGAGCUGCUGAGGAGCCUCCUGCGCAUAAAAAUCAUUCAGCAUCCAGACAACCGAGCUUGCCAGACUGCCAUGGACAUAACCAGCAUGACCCUGAAAGGCAAGGCUCAAACCAGAGGAUAGCACAAUCCGAAGCGAGGGAUGGCACUGCCACUAGCAAUGAAGGCCUCAAUACGUCGCCAUCAGCGGUGGAUGCAGUGGAAAAGAUAAACAAGGAUCAUCAGAACGUCGCUCACACGGUAGAGGACACCGAGGAGGGUGGGCUGUGCCAUUCUCUCGAGCCCGGCAGUCCAAAGCGGAAGGAGCACAGGAGCCAUGAUCACAGCAGCGAGAGGGACCUUAAGAGGUUGAGGCCAUAA